CCUACGGGCGGCAGCAGUGGGGAAUAUUGCGCAAUGGGCGAAAGCCUGACGCAGCGACGCCGCGUGAGGGAUGAAGGUCUUCGGAUCGUAAACCUCUGUCAGCAGGGAAGAACGCUCACUGUGCUAUUCAGUAGUGAAUUGACGUUACCUGCAAAGGAAGCACCGGCUAACUCCGUGCCAGCAGCCGCGGUAAUACGGAGGGUGCGAGCGUUAAUCGGAAUUACUGGGCGUAAAGCGCUCGUAGGCGGUAUGUCAAGUCAAGGGUGAAAGCCCCGCGCUCAACCUGGGAACUGCCUUUGAUACUGGCAGACUGGAGUGUGGGAGAGGAGAGUAGAAUUCCAGGUGUAGCGGUGAAAUCCGUAGAGAUCUGGAGGAACAUCAGUGGCGAAGGCGACUAACUGGAACAAAACUGACGCUGAGGUGCGAAAGCGUGGGUAGCAAACAGGAUUAGAUACCCGUGUAGUC
rnacentral:rRNA from 1 species